UACGCAGGCGGAAUAUUAAGUCAGUGGUGAAAUCCUGCGGCUCAACCGUAGAACUGCCAUUGAUACUGAUGUUCUUGAAUAUAGUUGAGGUAGGCGGAAUGUGUAAUGUAGCGGUGAAAUGCUUAGAUAUUACACAGAACACCGAUUGCGAAGGCAGCUUACUAAACUAUUAUUGACGCUGAUGUACGAAAGCGUGGGGAGCGAACAGGAUUAGAUACCCUGGUAGUCC
rnacentral:rRNA from 1 species